rnacentral:rRNA from 1 species
UACGUAGGGGGGCUAGCGUUGUCCGGAUUUAUUGGGCGUAAAGAGCGUGUAGGCGGCCAAGUAGGUCCGGUGUGAAAACUCGAGGCUCAACCUCGGGCUUGCAGUGGAUACGGGCAGACUAGAGUGCGGUAGGGGAGACUGGAAUUCCUGGUGUAGCGGUGGAAUGCGCAGAUAUCAGGAGGAACACCGAUGGCGAAGGCAGGUCUCUGGGCCGCAACUGACGCUGAGGAGCGAAAGCAUGGGGAGCGAACAGG